rnacentral:rRNA from 1 species
AUACGUAGGGUGCAAGCGUUAAUCGGAAUUACUGGGCGUAAAGCGUGCGCAGGCGGCUUUGUAAAAGAGAGGUGAAAUCGCCGGGCUCAACCCGGGAACUGCCUUUGUGACUGAAAGGGUAGAGGACGGCAGAGGGGGGUGGAAAUCCGUGUGGAGCAGUGAAAGGCGGAGAUAUGCGGGGGAACACCGAUGGCGAAGGCAAUCUCCUGGGACUGUGCUGACGCUCAUGCACGAAAGCAUGGGGAGCAAACAGGAUUAGAUACCCUGGUAGUCCACGCCCUAAACGAUGUCAACUGGUUGUUGGGGCUUCAUUGACUCAGUAACGAAGCUAACGCUAGAAGUAUUCCGCCUGGGGAGUACGGCCGCAAGGUUGAAACUCAAAUGAAUUGGCGGGG